GUGGGGAAUAUUGGACAAUGGGCGCAAGCCUGAUCCAGCCAUGCCGCGUGAGUGAUGAAGGACUUAGGGUUGUAAAGCUCUUUUGUCCGGGAAGAUAAUGACUGUACCGGAAGAAUAAGCCCCGGCUAACUUCGUGCCAGCAGCCGCGGUAAUACGAAGGGGGCUAGCGUUGCGCGGAAUCACUGGGCGUAAAGGGCGCGUAGGCGGACUUUUAAGUCGGAGGUGAAAGCCAAGGGCUCAACCCUGGAAUAGCCUUCGAUACUGGGAGUCUUGAGUUCGGCAGAGGUUGGUGGAACUGCGAGUGUAGAGGUGAAAUUCGUAGAUAUUCGCAAGAACACCGGUGGCGAAGGCGGCCAACUGGUCCGAAACUGACGCUGAGGCGCGAAAGCGUGGGGAGCAAACAGGAUUAGAUACCCCGGUAGUCC
rnacentral:rRNA from 1 species